UAAGAACGAGAGCAACUCAGAACC
rnacentral:miRNA from 1 species